rnacentral:sRNA from 25 species
GUCAGUAACCCAGCCCUAAAGGGACUGAGCUUGCAAGAGUAAUCAAGCAAGCCGUACUGACCAGACCACCCUGAGCAUAGUCUCAGGGUAGCCGUUAUUUGAGUCACGACACCCCGGAAUGCGUAGCUAGUUCCCUGCUCUGUC